GAGAAAAAGGGUGCACGUGAAGACGGAGGCGGCUCAAUGGUCGGCGACCACCGUCCGGACUUCUUCGGCGACGUUAUCUUGUCAGUCGGCACGUCACAAAUAGGUAUCUUUUGCCGUCUCUCCCUAGCGACCACCGCCGGCAUCUUCAUCAUGGAUCGCUAUACGAGAAGCAUUUCACCCGCAUCUUCCCUUCUACUUUACUCACCAAAUCGGAGCGGAUAGGGAGAGGAAGAGAGAGAGACUAGGGUUUAUAACUCAUAGAAAAGGCCUCCGUUUGCCUCCGGUAAGUUAUCCGCGUCAUACUACACAUCGGUACAGAGGAGGGCGAUCCUCAUGGUGGUGUUUGUUUCCCUGAUUGUAAAGCGGUGUUGGUUUAAUCGACAUCGUAGGGUGCAACAUAUAGGUAAUUGGUGGAAUCGGCGGUGAUUUGGGGAUUCUUGGAGUGGAUCUUGCAGCGGCUGUAACUGCGGCGACGAGUUUUUGUGGUGUAAUUCUUGGACUAAAAUUACGUUUGAGAAAGUUUAUUAAAAGAUCUGUUACAUUUUUUGUUUGUUGUUAAUUUUUCAGUAAAACUCAAGUGUGGGUUGGUGUUGAUAUGAAACCUAAGCUUGAUUAUGUCUAAAGUACAUAUAGCAAGUCAAAGUUCUUCAAAUCGUUAAGUAGCUUCAUUCUCCUUCUUUGCUGAAUGAUUUUGCCCUAUCAUCUGCAGCAGGGGUUCGUAGUAUCAUAAUACCAUAUGCCUGGUAUCCACUACCAUUACCAUGGUUGACGAUUAUGACAAGUUGGCAGCGCUAUUCGACCACAAUCUAGCCAUUCAUUCUAUUUGAUCGAGAUAUUGCUCAAGAAGCUGUCAAGAAGGGACGUCGACCAAGAAGCCUUAUUGCAGAGCUAUUGUAGGAGAUAAUUUGGAAGUUACUCAGAAGAAGAGAAGUGAGAAACCUGAAGUUCGUGAUGAUGCUAUGGAGGCUUCUCUUCAGAAUACCCAGGAUGCCAAAUUACCAGGGAGACAGUUACUACUGACUACCAUGACGAGCUUAUUAAAUGGAUAUUAAUCCAACGUUAGAGGGAGUUAAAUGGACCAUAAAUUCCCUUAUAUCAUUUACUCCGCAACACCAUCUAGAAGUUUAGAGUAUUCUGGUGAUGAUACAUCCAAUCCUUCGAGAAGAUUUAAAAUCGAGUUAAUCAAGGAGAUUGCCAUUUUGAGCAGAUGCUACUCGAAAAGAUGUUGUCUGAUGAAAUAUGAAGGCUUUGUAAUCAUUUGGAUAUUAGUUGAUCAACCAAAAGUACUAUUUGGUUUUCCACAUGCUUGACCUUAUUUUAAUUCAAUAGUAAGAACACCGGUUUUGGGUCAAAUAACAUGUGCUUGAAUUUUAGUUUAAACAGUUGCUGUAGCGCGUUACCGG